AACUGAUUUCUUGGACGAACGAUCAGAGUAUCUCACCAAGUUUGCUGAAGAAGCCAAUGCAGAGUUUGACAAGGUUGGAGAAGACGCCAUGAAAGACCUUGACGAAGCUAGCACAAGGGUAUGUAUCAGUUAAUAACGAUAACUUUGAUAUCUAGGCUGAUAUAAUGGAAUUAUGUCGUAAAGAUUGAAAAUUUUGUCGUUCUUACCUUGAUUCUUUGAUGCAACUUGAUUCAUGAGAAUCGUCUUAACAUUAUAAGUCAAGUGAACUCAGAAGCUUCCAAAGAUUGUGAUCUGCUCGAUGAUCUUACAGAACAGAAAAAUAGAUAAGCUGAUAUUAAUAUUUUCUUUCCGGGUGAUUGAGCAGAUACUCGAGAAUAUCGAGAGCAAGAUGCAAGCUUUUGAGGAAUCUGCGGGACUGAACAGAUUAGAGAUAGAGGAGAACGAUAAUAAGUUGGCUGAGUUUGAGGAGAAGAUCGAGGUAGACCGGAAUGAAGGAUUGUUCUUUAAAAGCUUAGGCGACAAAAAACCGGUGGAUAAAGAGAAAGCUAAAGAGGAGACUGAGAAGAUAGAAGAGGUUACUAAAGAAAGUGCAGGAUCACAAGCAAGAAGGAAUCUUUACCUCGGGUUAAUUGGGAUCGUGGUUCUUGCAAUUGCUGAGUCCUUCGUUUCUGCACCAGAUUGGAGAAAAGUCGCAAUUCUCGGAGCUAUCCUUAUACCACUCCUCACUCAAUUCGU
rnacentral:lncRNA from 1 species